rnacentral:rRNA from 1 species
AUUGAACGCUGGCGGCAGGCUUAACACAUGCAAGUCGAGCGGAGAUGAGGUGCUUGCACCUUAUCUUAGCGGCGGACGGGUGAGUAAUGCUUAGGAAUCUGCCUAUUAGUGGGGGACAACAUUCCGAAAGGAAUGCUAAUACCGCAUACGUCCUACGGGAGAAAGCAGGGGAUCUUCGGACCUUGCGCUAAUAGAUGAGCCUAAGUCGGAUUAGCUAGUUGGUGGGGUAAAGGCCUACCAAGGCGACGAUCUGUAGCGGGUCUGAGAGGAUGAGCCGCCACACUGGGACUGAGACACGGCCCAGACUCCUACGGGAGGCAGCAGUGGGGAAUAUUGGACAAUGGGGGAAACCCUGAUCCAGCCAUGCUGCGUGUGUGAAGAAGGCCUUAUGGUUGUAAAGCACUUUAAGCGAGGAGGAGGCUACUGAGACUAAUACUCUUGGAUAGUGGACGUUACUCGCAGAAUAAGCACCGGCUAACUCUGUGCCAGCAGCCGCAGUAACAC